UUGUCUUGAGAGGGGAAGGGAUCUCUAUGGGUUUUGGAGGUCUGACAGAAGAGAGUGAGCACACACGGUGCUUUCUUAGCAUGCAAGAGCCAUGCUGGGAGCUGUGCGUGCUCACUCUCUAUCUGUCAGCCGUUCACCAUGCCCAAUAUGAUUAAUCUCCUUCUCUCAGUUGACAG
rnacentral:miRNA from 1 species